UAAUACGGGAGGCAGCAGUGGGGAAUAUUGCACAAUGGGCGCAAGCCUGAUGCAGCCAUGCCGCGUGUGUGAAGAAGGCCUUCGGGUUGUAAAGCACUUUCAGUCGUGAGGAAGGUGGUGUAGUUAAUAGCUGCAUUAUUUGACGUUAGCGACAGAAGAAGCACCGGCUAACUCCGUGCCAGCAGCCGCGGUAAUACGGAGGGUGCGAGCGUUAAUCGGAAUUACUGGGCGUAAAGCGCAUGCAGGUGGUUUGUUAAGUCAGAUGUGAAAGCCCGGGGCUCAACCUCGGAAUAGCAUUUGAAACUGGCAGACUAGAGUACUGUAGAGGGGGGUAGAAUUUCAGGUGUAGCGGUGAAAUGCGUAGAGAUCUGAAGGAAUACCGGUGGCGAAGGCGGCCCCCUGGACAGAUACUGACACUCAGAUGCGAAAGCGUGGGGAGCAAACAGGAUUAGAUACCCUGGUAGUCCACGCCGUAAACGAUGUCUACUUGGAGGUUGUGGCCUUGAGCCGUGGCUUUCGGAGCUAACGCGUUA
rnacentral:rRNA from 1 species